UACGUAGGGGGCUAGCGUUGUCCGGAUUUAUUGGGCGUAAAGAGCGUGUAGGCGGCCAGAUAGGUCUGCUGUGAAAACUCGAGGCUCAACCUCGAGAUGUCGGCGGAAACCAUUUGGCUAGAGUCCGGAAGAGGAAAGUGGAAUUCCUGGUGUAGCGGUGAAAUGCGCAGAUAUCGGGAAGAACACCCGUGGCGAAGGCGGUUCUCUGGGACGGUACUGACGCUGAGACGCGAAAGCGUGGGGAGCGAACAGG
rnacentral:rRNA from 1 species